CUGCUGGGAAACACCAAUUCAAGGAGGAGAUGGAUGUGACCAUGAGGCUCUGCCCCAGACCCCCAGCUCUGACCUUGGAGCUGCCUUCACGGUGAAUGUCCUCCAACUAGAUGACUCCCGAUGAUCCCAAGCCUCCCAGAUUUCAGCCUCUUGGACACAUCCAACACCUAGACUCCAUGUUGGCCCAAAGCAAUCAACACUAACAAGAUCUCCAGAAGAAACUGCUGGUAUCAGUAACUACUGACUGUGUUCUGGCCAGCUGGAGAAAUAGAGAUAGCAGAAUUGUAAUUCAGGAUGUCAGUGGAAGAAGCAAGUAGCCUCAUACUGUCUCAAUAUCCAAGAGAAAACAGAUCUCUCCGAGAAAAGACAACAUUAAGAGAACAUAAAGGGAAGACACAGUAUAGAAGUAUGUUGAUCUCCAACAAGGGACUUACUCUAGAAUAGAUAUCAUGUCAUCUGAUAAGAUAAUCAACACAGUAAAAUAAUUCUUCAAAAGACUUGAAUAGAAACUUCACAAAACAAGAUCUAGGAAUGGUUCAUUAGCACAUGGAAAGAUGCUCGACUCAUUAGUCAUGAAGGAAAGAAAUCAGUUCUACAGUAGAUGCCAUUGAGUUAGUAUGGCUAAAGUUAGAAAGUCUGAAAAUAUCACAAAAAGCACCUGGAAGUCUCAUAGACCUGUGGAAAUGAAAAACAGUACAACCGCUUUGAAAAGCUGACUUCCAGUCUCUUAUAAGAUUAAAAAAAAUACAUAUCAUAAGGACAGUCAUUCCAUUCCUAGCUAUUUACACAUCUACGAAAUGAUCAGCAUGUGAAUAUUCUUAAUAGUUUUAUUCAUGAUUGCCCGAAAUUGGAAAUGACACAAUAUAUGUGUCACUAUAUAUAUAUAUAUAUAUAUAUAUAGUAUAUUUCUAGUUAUAUGAAGUUGUUAAAAAUGCAACCAUCUACAGUAUCGAUAAUUCCCUGGGACUGAGGCUAGAGGCAGUGAUGGACCACAGAGGGGCACAAGGGAAGUUGUGAGAUAGUGGAAAUGCCCUGUAUCUUGACUGUAGUGGAAGUUUCAUUAGUGUGUAACAUCUAUCAAAAUGCAUUUAAUUGUACACCUUCAAGCCAUGCACUCUAUUGUACCUAAAUUAUAUCUUAAUAAAGUUGAUAUCACAAUCUAUUGUAUUUCUCCA
rnacentral:lncRNA from 12 species